AUGAAAAACAUAAAACAGAUGAUCCAACACAAUGCCGUUUCCAUCCCUCGCCUCCCGCAUCAUUCAGCAGCAGCAGCAGCAGCAGAGAUGGCGCAAUUCGCCCCAGCAGCGCUUUCUCCGGCCGUAAGCCUGAGCUCCGAGCCUCCGUCCAGCGCGUUCUCUCCCACGGAAGGUGGAACACAGCGGCUCCUGUUUACGCAUGAUCUGGUCUCCGGAAAACAUCACGGGGCGAUGCGUUUUGGGCUUGUACGGAUGAUUCAUGGAGAGGAGGAUUUUGAAGAUUCGGACUCUGAGAUUGGUGGUGAUGGCGGUGGAGGAGGUGGAGGCGCUCCCGCUAACUCGGAUAACGAGAGUGGUGCUGCGGAAACACGGCCAUGGCCUCUCGGUAGAGGAUUUGUGCGGGUUCAGUGGUAUCCUGAAGGAACGAAACAGGAUGUUCGAGAAACGAAGCUUAAACUUGAAGAUCGAUCUAUUGUGCCUAGAGACUUUGUCCGGCGGAUAAAUUCAAAUGAAAAACAGUGUGGAAUUGUGACUAACAUAAACACAGAAUGUGCAGUGAAACUUGUAGGGACCAACUGUGCUCUAUAUCCUGUAAAUAGCAAAGACCUGCAGCACAUCUGGGUGAGUUUCUUUACCUGCUAUAUUGCUAUAUGUAUGUUCUAUAUGAUUUGCUUUUGAUAUGCUUUUGAUUUUCUAAAAGUACAAUAUAAUAAUAAUAAUAUCACACAAUUCCCCAUAAUGGC
rnacentral:lncRNA from 1 species